rnacentral:lncRNA from 1 species
GCACUUCGACUGCGCUGGGGUUGUUCACCUGCUGUCUUCGAAGCCUUGCAAUCGUCAUCUGAUACAGGAAAAGUUGCUU